rnacentral:rRNA from 1 species
GACAGAGGUGCCGAGCGUUAGGCGGAAUCACUGGGCUUAAAGCGUGUGUAGGCGGCCCGUUAAGUGCCUCGUGAAAUCCCCCGGCUCAACCGGGGAACUGCCGGGCAUACUGGCGGGCUUGGGUCGCUCAGGGGCAGACGGAACAGGCGGUGGAGCGGUGAAAUGCGUAGAUAUCAGGAAGAACACCCGUGGCGAAGGCGGCUCUCUGGGACGGUACUGACGCUGAGACGCGAAAGCGUGGGGAGCGAACAGG